GUAGGUGGCAAGCGUUGUCCGGAAUUAUUGGGCGUAAAGCGCGCGCGGCGGUUCUUUAAGUCUGAUGUGAAAGCCCACGGGCUCAGCCGUGGAGGGUCAUUGGAAACUGGAGAACUUGAGUACAGAAGAGGAAAGCGGAAUUCCACGUGUAGCGGUGAAAUGCGUAGAGAUGUGGAGGAACACCAGUGGCGAAGGCGGCUUUCUGGUCUGUAACUGACGCUGAGGCGCGAAAGCGUGGGGAGCAAACAGGAUUAGAUACCCUGGUAGUCCACGCCGUAAACGAUGAGUGCUAAGUGUUAGGGGGUUUCCGCCCCUUAGUGCUGCAGCUAACGCAUUAAGCACUCCGCCUGGGGAGUACGGCCGCAAGGCUG
rnacentral:rRNA from 1 species